GACGGUCCUCCCUAACCGGAGGCGAACAGGGAAUGCCGUGCCGCCCCUCACAAGGCCAAUCGGCAGCUGUACCCGCAGCUGUAAGCGGCGAGCGACUGCCCACACGUCACUGGAGGCACCUCCGGGAAGACGGGCAGGAGCGGCGACCCGCGAGCCAGAAGACCUGCCGGCGAU
rnacentral:ncRNA from 1 species